rnacentral:rRNA from 1 species
AGUCAAACAACUAGCAUUAAAAAUAAGCUAAAAAUAAUCUAUUGUUAACUUAUCAACAACUACAACCAAUUAAACAAAUCAUUUUUAAGCCUCAGUACGGGAGACAGAAAAGGCUCUAAUAGCAACAGAGAAAGUACCGCAAGGGAACGUUGAAAGAGAAAUGAAAAACUAAGUUACACCCAGAAAAGCAGAGAUUACCCCUCGUACCUUUUGCAUCAUGAUCUAGUAAGUGUUCCUUAAGCAAAAAGACUUUUAGUUUAAACACCCGAAACCAGGUGAGCUACUCCGAGACAACCUUAUUUUAGGGUGCACCCGUCUCUGUCGCAAAAGAGUGGGAAGAGCUCCGAGUAGCGGUGAAAAACCUAUCGAACCUGGUUAUAGCUGGUUGCCUGAGAGAUGAAUAGUAGUUCAGCACUAUUACUUCUUAAACCAACUUGUUUUACCCUUCAGGUUUUAAAGAAGUUUUAGCAGUUAGUAUAAAGGGGUACAGCCCUUUAUACAUAAAAUACAAUUUAUUGAAUGGAUAAAGAUCAUAUUAUUAAAGGUUUCAAUACUUAGGUGGGCCUAAGAGCAGCCACCCUAAAAGAAAGCGUUAAAGCUCAUGUAUGCCUUUAUACCUAUUAUACUGAAAACAGAGUCUUAAUCCUUUAUACAUAUCAGGCCAUGUUAUUUAUUUUAACAGUGAUAAUGCUAGUAUGAGUAAUAAGGGGAAGCCCCCCUCCUUGCACAAGUGUACAUCGGAACGAACUAACACCGACCAUUAACGCCCCCCAAACAGAGGGUACUGGUUUAGUUAUAAAAAACUAGAAAAACCUCCACAUGUAAACGUUAAACCCACACUGGCGUGCUCUCAAGGAAAGAUUAAAAGGGAGAGAAGGAACUCGGCAAACUCAAGCCUCGCCUGUUUACCAAAAACAUCGCCUCUUGUGUAUCUUAAAUAAGAGGUCCCGCCUGCCCGGUGACUUCGUGUUUAACGGCCGCGGUAUUUUAACCGUGCAAAGGUAGCGUAAUCACUUGUCUUUUAAAUGAAGACCUGUAUGAAAGGCACCACGAGGGCUUAGCUGUCUCCUCCCCCUAAUCAAUUAAAUUGAUCUCCCCGUGCAGAAGCUGGGAUGUAAGCAUAAGACGAGAAGACCCUAUGGAGCUUUAAACAUAUCAGGUUUACGUCACUACCCCCUAAAUAAAGGAAUGAACUAAGCAUUUACCUAGAAAAUGUUUUUGGUUGGGGCGACCGCGGGGUAAUAAAUAACUCCCGUGACGAGAAAGCAACACUUUCAAAACUAAGACCCCCAAGUCUAAGUCGUAGAAACUCUAACAAAUGAUCCGGUUUACCGAUCAACGAAACGAGUUACCCUAGGGAUAACAGCGCAAUCCCCUUCAAGAGUCCCUAUCGACAAGGGGGUUUACGACCUCGAUGUUGGAUCAGGACAUCCUAAUGGUGUAGCCGCUAUUAAGGGUUCGUUUGUUCAACGAUUAAAGUCCUACGUGAUCUGAGUUCAGACCGGAGUAAUCCAGGUCAGUUUCUAUCUAUGAGUGACUUUUUCUAGUACGAAAGGACCGAAAAAGUAAGGCCAAUGCUGCUGGCAAGCCUUAACCCCACCUGCUGAAGACAAAUAAAGCAGAUAAGGGCACUAAUAAGCCUAGCCCAAGUCUAGGGUUU